AUAGUCCCGGAACGGAUAACGCGCUUGGCUACGGAUCAGGAGAUUCCAGGUUCGAAUCCUGAAGCUUCGAUG